UCAAACUUGGUCAUUUAGAGGAAGUAAAAGUCGUAACAAGGUUUCCGUAGGUGAACCUGCGGAAGGAUCAUUAUCGAGUGUUGACCGAAAGGUCGCCUCCCACCCCUUGUGUACCAACCUGUUGCUUCGGCGGGACGUCGGUUUCUAUACCGCCGUCGGCGUCAGCGGGCGUGAGCCUGCCGGAGGUCAACCAAACUCUGUUCUAGGCCGUCUGAGUCUGAAAUGAAAUGAAUCAAAACUUUCAACAACGGAUCUCUUGGUUCUGGCAUCGAUGAAGAACGCAGC
rnacentral:misc_RNA from 1 species